rnacentral:rRNA from 1 species
UCACUUUUGGAUGGUCCCGCGGCGUAUUAGCUAGAUGGUGAGGUAACGGCUCACCAUGGCAAUGAUACGUAGCCGACCUGAGAGGGUAAUCGGCCACAUUGGGACUGAGACACGGCCCAAACUCCUACGGGAGGCAGCAGUAGGGAAUCUUCCACAAUGGACGAAAGUCUGAUGGAGCAACGCCGCGUGAGUGAAGAAGGGUUUCGGCUCGUAAAACUCUGUUGUUAAAGAAGAACAUAUCUGAGAGUAACUGUUCAGGUAUUGACGGUAUUUAACCAGAAAGCCACGGCUAACUACGUGCCAGCAGCCGCGGUAAUACGUAGGUGGCAAGCGUUGUCCGGAUUUAUUGGGCGUAAAGCGAGCGCAGGCGGUUUUUUAAGUCUGAUGUGAAAGCCUUCGGCUCAACCGAAGAAGUGCAUCGGAAACUGGGAAACUUGAGUGCAGAAGAGGACAGUGGAACUCCAUGUGUAGCGGUGAAAUGCGUAGAUAU